rnacentral:rRNA from 1 species
GAUGAACGCUAGCGGCAGGCCUAAUACAUGCAAGUCGAACGAGAGCUCGCGAUACAACUACUCGCGCACGGGUACGUCACGGGUAACCACCCUUCCCCGCUCUGGAGCAUAGCGCGCCGAAAGGCGGAUUCAUACAGCAUCUACCCGCCGACUGGCAUUAGGCAACGGGGGAACAUGUAUUGGAUUGGGUUGGGGUUGCGUGACAUUCGCUAGUUGGCGGGGUAAGGGCGCUGCAAGGCGACGAUGUCUAGGGAACCUGAGAGGGUGAUCCCCCCCACUGACACUGAGAUACGGGACAGAGUCCGACGCGAGGCAGCAGUAGGGAAGGGUGGGCAAUGGGGGGGAGCCUGACCCAGCCACGCCGGGUGGCUGAUGAAGGGCCGCUGGGUUGUAAACGGCUUUACGCAGGGAAAAAAAAGACCUUGCGGAGUACACUGACGGUACCUGGGGAAUAAGCACCGGCUAACUCCGUG